rnacentral:rRNA from 1 species
AGUCGACGGCAGCAUAGGAGCUUGCUCCUGAUGGCGAGUGGCGAACGGGUGAGUAAUAUAUCGGAACGUGCCCUAGAGUGGGGGAUAACUAGUCGAAAGACUAGCUAAUACCGCAUACGAUCUACGGAUGAAAGUGGGGGAUCGCAAGACCUCAUGCUCCUGGAGCGGCCGAUAUCUGAUUAGCUAGUUGGUGGGGUAAAAGCCUACCAAGGCAACGAUCAGUAGCUGGUCUGAGAGGACGACCAGCCACACUGGGACUGAGACACGGCCCAGACUCCUACGGGAGGCAGCAGUGGGGAAUUUUGGACAAUGGGGGCAACCCUGAUCCAGCAAUGCCGCGUGAGUGAAGAAGGCCUUCGGGUUGUAAAGCUCUUUUGUCAGGGAAGAAACGGUAGUAGCGAAUAACUAUUACUAAUGACGGUACCUGAAGAAUAAGCACCGGCUAACUACGUGCCAGCAGCCGCGGUAAUACGUAGGGUGCAAGCGUUAAUCGGAAUUACUGGGCGUAAAGCGUGCGCAGGCGGUUGUGUAAGUCAGAUGUGAA